UGGUUUUUAUCUGCUAUAGGAUAGGAUCGUGGACGAUUAUGGUUGUUGGUGAGGUAACGGCUCACCAAGCCGAUAAUCGAUAGGGGCCGUGAGAGCGGGAGCCCCGAGAUGGGUACUGAGACAACGACCCAGGCCUUACGAGGCGCAGCAGGCGCGGAACCUCCGCAAUACACGAAAGUGUGACGGGGUUACCCAAAGUGUUCAAUUCUGAACUGUGGUAGGUGAGUAAUGUUCCCUACUAGAAAGGAGAGGGCAAGGCUGGUGCCAGCCGCCGCGGUAAAACCAGCUCUUCAAGUGGUCGGGAUAAUUAUUGGGCUUAAAGUGUCCGUAGCCGGUUUAGUAAGUUCCUGGUAAAAUCGGGUAGCUUAACUAUCCAUAUGCUAGGAAUACUGCUAUACUAGAGGGCGGGAGAGGUCUGAGGUACUACAGGGGUAGGGGUGAAAUCUUAUAAUCCUUGUAGGACCACCAGUGGCGAAGGCGUCAGACUGGAACGCGCCUGACGGUGAGGGACGAAAGCCAGGGGAGCAAACCGGAUUAGAUACCCGGGUAGUCCUGGCCGUAAACGAUGCAUACUAGGUGAUGGUACGGCCAUGAGCCGUAUCAGUGCCGUAGGGAAACCGUUUAGUGUGCCGCCUGGGAAGUACGGUCGCAAGGCUAAAACUUAAAGGAAUUGGCGGGGGAGCACCACAAGGGGUGAAGCCUGCGGUUCAAUUGGACCCAACGCCGGGGAACUUACCAGGGGAGACAGUAGAAUGACGGUCAGGUUGACGACCUUACCUAACGAGCUGACAGGAGGUGCAUGGCCGUCGCCAGUUCGUGCUGUGAGGUAUCCUGUUAAGUCAGGCAACGAACGAGAUCCGCGCCUUUAUUUGCCAGCAAGAAGUCACGACUUCGUUGGGAACACUAAAGGGACCGCCUUCGAUAAGACGGGGGAAGGAGCGGGCAAAGGCAGGUCAGUAUGCCCCGAAACCCCCGGGCUACACGCGGGCUGCAAUGAUAUGAACAAUGGGCAGUAACUCCGAAAGGAGAAACCAAUCCCGAAAUCAUAUCUCAGUGGGGAUUGUCGGCUGUAACCCGCUGACAUGAACGUGGAAUCCCUAGUAAUCGUGUGUCAUCAUCGCACGGUGAAUACGUCUCUGCUCCUUGCACACACCGCCCGUCGCUCUAUCCGAGUGUGCUAAAAAUGAGGUUUGGUCAAUCUGGUCAUAUCGAGUUUCUAGUAUGCGA
rnacentral:rRNA from 1 species